GACGAACGCUGGCGGCGUGCUUAACACAUGCAAGUCGAACGGAAAGGCCUGCUUUCCCUUGUGGAUUGCGGGUACUCGGGUGGCGAACGGGUGAGUAACACGUGAGUGAUCUGCCCCCAACUUGGGUAUAAGCCUGGGAAACUGGGUCUAAUUCCCGAUAGGACUGCAGGGUGGUGCCUGUGGUGGAAAACGAUUUUCUAGUGGUUGGGGAUGAGCUCGCGGCCUAUCAGCUUGUUGGUGGGGUAAUGGCCUACCAAGGCGGCGACGGGUAGCCGGCCUGAGAGGGUGGACGGCCACAUUGAGACUGAGAUACGGCCCAGACUCCUACGGGAGGCAGCAGUGGGGAAUAUAGCACAAUGGGCGGAAGCCUGAUGCAGCGACGCCGCGUGGGGGAUGACGGCCUUCGGGUUGUAAACUCCUUUCGACCGCGAGGAAGCCACCUGGUUGGAAGGGUGGUGACGGUAGUGGUAGAAGAAGCACCGGCUAACUACGUG
rnacentral:rRNA from 1 species